AACGAACGCUGGCGGCAUGCCUAACACAUGCAAGUCGAACGAGAUCUUCGGGUCUAGUGGCGCACGGGUGCGUAACGCGUGGGAAUCUGCCCUUUGGUUCGGAAUAACAGUUGGAAACGACUGCUAAUACCGGAUGAUGACGAAAGUCCAAAGAUUUAUCGCCAGAGGAUGAGCCCGCGUAGGAUUAGCUAGUUGGUGUGGUAAAGGCGCACCAAGGCGACGAUCCUUAGCUGGUCUGUGAGGAUGAGCAGCCACACUGGGACUGAGACACGGCUCAGACUCCUACGGGAGGCAGCAGUGGGGAAUAUUGGACAAUGGGCGAAAGCCUGAUCCAGCAAUGCCGCGUGAGUGAUGAAGGCCUUAGGGUUGUAAAGCUCUUUUACCCGGGAUGAUAAUGACAGUACCGGGAGAAUAAGCUCCGGCUAACUCCGUGCCAGCCGCCGCAGUAA
rnacentral:rRNA from 1 species